AUCCCUGUAGCUCAGUUGGUAGAGCAUGAUGUUUGCAACGCCAGGGUUGUGGGUUCGAUUCCCACGGGGGGCC
rnacentral:tRNA from 1 species